UCUGGUAAUCCUAUAGCGAAUCAAUAAAUGCCAACUAUCAGCAAUAAAUUAGGCAGUAGCUGAAACGCGCCGAGGAACGCGUGAAUCUUAAAACUGAAAACAAAAUCAUCGCGCCUUCCAAUUGCAGGUCCUUAUAUAAACGCACAGCCAAAACUAUCAACACAGUUCCUUAAUUCUCUCCUCUGUGACUGCUGCUAUUUUUCCUUCAAACACAAAUCAACCUCAGAGCACAACACAACACCACACAAACAUUUUAACCUUAAAAAGGAAAUCUGUGUUUCAAAAAUCCAUGUCAGAAAACAACGCCAACACAACAGACCCUUUAUUGGGAAGAAAGAGCAGCAAAUUUACAAGAAGUGUGUCACAUGCAUACGAUGAAUUACAAAGCUUUAGAUCUUACCUACGGUGGAUGUGUGUCGAUCAAUCCAAUAUAUGGGUUACUU
rnacentral:lncRNA from 1 species